GUGCAGCAGUCGCGAAUACUUUACAAUGUGCGAAAGCACGAUAAGGGAACUCUGAGUGCCUCCUAAGGAGGCUGUUCAGGUGUCUAAAAAGCACCUGGAGUAAGGGCUGGGUAAGACCGGUGCCAGCCGCCGCGGUAACACCGGCAGCCCAGGUGGUAGCCACUUUUAUUGGGUCUAAAGCGUCCGUAGCCGGUUGAGUAAGUUCCUUGGGAAAUUUGGCUGCUCAACAGUCAAGCUUCCAGGGAAUACUGCUCGACUUGGGACUGGGAGAGGUCAGAGGUACUCCAGGGGUAGGGGUGAAAAUCCAUUAAUCCCUGGGGGACCACCGGUAGCGAAGGCGUCUGACCAGACCAGGUCCGACGGUGAGGGACGAAGGCUAGGGUCGCGAACCGGAUUAGAUA
rnacentral:rRNA from 1 species